CUGCAGCCCGACUUGAGUGGAGCUCUUUUUCUGUUCGGUGCCUUCGACUACGCUUAGGCACCGAACAGAAAAAAGCAGGAACGGAAGGCGGAUUAAGC
rnacentral:misc_RNA from 1 species